rnacentral:rRNA from 1 species
AACGUAGUUUGACGUCGUCGUCACGGAGUGAACGCUGGCGGCGUGCCUAAUACAUGCAAGUCGAAGCGGAACAGAUAAGGAGACUUGCUCCUUUUGAAGUUAGCGGCGGACGGGGUGAGUAACACGUGGGGUAACCUACCUAUAAGACUGGGAGUAACUUCGGGAAACCGGAGCUAAUACCGGAUAACAUUUAGAACCGCAUGGUUCUAAAGUGAAAGAUGGUUUUGCUAUCACUUAUAGAUGGACCCGCGCCGUAUUAGCUAGUUGGUAAGGUAACGGCUUACCAAGGCGACGAUACGUAGCCGACCUGAGAGGGUGAUCGGCCACACUGGAACUGAGACACGGUCCAGACUCCUACGGGAGGCAGCAGUAGGGAAUCUUCCGCAAUGGGCGAAAGCCUGACGGAGCAACGCCGCGUGAGUGAUGAAGGGUUUCGGCUCGUAAAACUCUGUGAUUAGGGAAGAACAAAUGUGUAAGUAACUGUGCACAUCUUGACGGUACCUAAUCAGAAAGCCACGGCUAACUACGUG